rnacentral:lncRNA from 1 species
GUCGUAAGCGGUAAGUUUAUGAUGAUAUUAGAAUGACCAUGUUGCUAUAAACGCUAUAAGAAAGGUACGUUUUAGUUUAGACCUUUAGCCAAUUACUAUAUAAGAUUCUUAAUAUACGAUUCUAUACGAUUCUUAAUGAAAUGUUUAUCAGACAUCUGUAGAUCAGUAUUAUAAACAUAUCGAGGAUGUGCUUCAAUGCGGAUGCAUGCAUUAAGACUGUCUGUAUAUCUGUGAGCACUUUGAACGUAAAUGCUGGUUCAGUAGGUUCAUUUAGUUGAAUAGUUGAAAUUAUUUAUGUUAUUAAAGCUUCUUGUCGGUAGAAUGGUAGAUAGGAAGGUACAAUUUUCGAAUACACUAGCAACGCGACCAUGAAUUAGCCACUUGGAACGGAAAUUAGGAACGGAAAUUAAUUCGCUAAAUCUUAAACAAUGAAUGAAUGGUUGGAAGAGGUUAAUAUAUUCAUGAAAAAAAAACCAACGCUGCGUUGUCAAUAUAAAGUUGAUUCAAGCGGGUUUUGAACUCGCAUAUUCACCGAACCGGGCAGAUGCUUGACCAAUUGAGCUAUCGAGUCAAUAGGGAGAGCACAAGUUCAAAUCCACACUUAAGCAAUGAGAUAUUCUCGCGACUUGCCUGGCAACAGUGUUUCAAUUCUAUUCCGGGGAAAUAUAAUACAAUGUAAUCAUUACUUGCCUAUUAUUUACUUUAGGACACUUCUUCUCAAAACUUUUUACAUGUACUCAACCACCAUUGACAAUGAAUGCUUCCAUGCAUGAUUGCAUGGAGGAGGCUAUAUAUAUUGCAGGUCUUUAAAUGGGGAAUGUUCCCCUGGGGAGGGCAUUCAUGAACUCUGGUUGAAGUGAGCUGCUAAAACUGACUAUUUUCAUCAACUUUGGCUGAAAGUGCAUUUUGAAAAGUUAUAAUCUAUUGUUUGUGCUUCGUAGACCGUGUCUUGUUUUGAAUAUAUUUUGAAACCAAUUUAUAUGGAAGCCUAUAUCGUUUUAAUAAUAAGUCUAUCACUGUCUUGGGUUACUACUAAUUAUGCAUGAUUCUCAACUCUGACAUGAAUUUGACACCAUUUUCUCGAGCUUUGUUCCCCAUUGUAUGUGAACCAUUUAUCAAACCAUUUGUGAAGCACAAUGUUUGGCAUCACAUGACCCCUGGCCUUUUCUGGAGUUUCAAUAUUUCUCUAAUAUUUUUCUAGAUAGUCAGGUUAACAAAAGGAAAUCAAAUGGCUUAGAUCGAUUUUACUCAGUACACAAUGGCUGCGAAACCGUUUUCUAAAGAGGAAUUGAACUUCUUUAAGUUUUCUAAACUUGUUAUUCACGAGUUCCCCAAGGUCAUACGUCAAAUUUUUAUCAUCAUGUGGGACAGUAGGGUUGCUAUAAAACCAGGAUAUAUUACCUGGGAUGAUAGCACCAAGGUACGAAAUAUGCUAUUUAAAUCUGAGGGUGGUAAAACUGAUAUACCAACUACGAAAUCAAUUGAUGAAUGGGACUGCACAACUUUAUUUAAAGCAACAAUCUAUGCCAAAACAUUUGGUGUUCCAAGCAGCAAGGGAUCAACUUUAAAUGAUUUAUAUUUGAAAAAAGUGAAACCACUUCCAGGUUCUUUUCAUUCAUCCGUUCAAAGUUCAACGGGAAAACAAGAUGAAACUUAUACCUUGGCAAUUGAUCAGUUGCGGUUGUUGAGAAACAAACUUUGCCAUUUACCCAAAACUGAAAUAAUUAAAACUGAUUUUGAUAAUUAUGUACUCUUAGUAAAAGACGCUUUAUCAGCGGUUAACAUUGAUACCGCUUUUGUUGAUGCUAUUGGUCAGAUGAACGAGGAUGAUUUCCCUACAGAGAAAGUUAAAGAAUUAGAAGAAUGUCGCAUUAAGGAGUUACAAGCCACCAGUAUGUUUCAUGAGAAUUUGGAGCACGCAAUAUCUUCUAUUGAGGAGAAAAUUGACAGAAUGAUGAGCGGCAAAAGUUUGGAGGAGAAGGCAAAUGUGCCAGG